GCCAAUGAAGAGCCCCGAGGGGUGGGGCGGGGUCCGGUCCUUGCCAAUCAGAGCCUUCCAUGUGCGGCUUCCUGCGGCCGGAGCGUGGCUACCUCUGAUUGGUCAUUGGUAGGAGGAGUCAGCCAAUCAUUUUUAAUAGCUAGCUUAAUCUGCCUGUCUUUUAUUAAUUUUUUAAAUUAAAUACUCGGAAAUGUUCGACUCCGCGGCUAUGUGACUCCCGCACGAAUGAGAGCUGGGUCUAAAGCGAUAAAAGUCUCCACAUGAGCGGAUCAAUCCAAAGCAUUUCCGGGGCGCCCAGAAUGUUUGCCCUAGAGACAGUUACUACGGCAACGUUUACUUCCGGCAGGAAUGAAAGGCUGUGUGGCAGAUGCUUUGUGCUUACUAGGUGCUUCUUCUUGUGGGCUUGCUGACAAUGAGAUCCUGCACAUUUUGAACAUUCUGGGCUGUGCAGAUGAAUGUAAAGUAGAAACUCCCUGUCACUGUGCAGCAUUUCGUAAUUCUACCACAAAGUAGAUCCAGGAGAAACCUGAUGGCCUAUUGCACUUUAGUCACAGGCCGUGGCAAGAAGCCAGAGAGCAUCAGCUGCUUGAGAGUUGUAAUAAUGUACUAACUAGAAUCCCUUAUCACAAUACCAACCUAAAGGAGAACAGAAGAGCAAAAGGUGAGAGUUUCCUUUGUCUGCUUCUUUUGGUGAAGGCCAUAUCCGGUCUUCAUGUGUAACAAGAGGAACUUGUGAGUCCCUAGGAUGUCAGAAUGCUCCUACAAGGAAGAUGGAAAACGUUUACUUAAUAAGAAGAACUGCAAACUUUUCGGCAGCCACGGCUUGAGAGUGAUGCGUCUCAAAAGCGAAACCUGACUGGGGAGGACACAGCAAGAGUCCACCCACUGAUGUAGGCCUUCACAUCAAAGGUGGAUUUUUUUUCUUUUGGUGUUCUGUUUUUACAUAGGGAAAAUAAUGUGCAUGGUCACUUUAAGAGAGGGAAUUCUGGGAGUGAACUUUGUAUCUUGAAACCUCAUAGGCUAUAUCUACACUACCGCAGUAAGUCGACCUAUGCUAUGCAACUCCAGCUACAUGAAUAACGUAGUCAACGUACCGUAGGUUGAGUUAUCGCGGGGUCUACAUGUGGGGGGUCACUUAUCUUACUCUUCUCGUCGGGGGUAGAGUACGGGGGUCGACUGGAGAGUCAUCUGCUGUUGAUUUGGUGGGUAAUCACCAGAUCUGCUAAAUCGACUGCCGGUAGAUCGAUCUCAGAGUGUUGAUCCCAGCUGUAGUGUAGAUGUAGCCUUAAACUUGCAUGAGAAAUUCACUGAAGCUCAGAGGGUCAGGAAGAAGAGACAUCUGGAGAGGGCUCAUAACUCCAGGUCAUGCUGAGUGUCAAAAGUCAUCUGGUAUUGUAUCUGAACAAGCUUGAUUUCAAUGUUUUAUUAGAGGGGACUAUGUUUCUUUUUCUUUGU